rnacentral:rRNA from 1 species
AACGAACGCUGGCGGCAUGCCUAACACAUGCAAGUCGAACGAGACCUUCGGGUCUAGUGGCGCACGGGUGCGUAACGCGUGGGAACCUGCCCUUAGGUUCGGAAUAACUCCCCGAAAGGGGUGCUAAUACCGGAUAAUGUCUUCGGACCAAAGAUUUAUCGCCUUUGGAUGGGCCCGCGUUUGAUUAGCUAGUUGGUAGGGUAAAAGCCUACCAAGGCGACGAUCCAUAGCUGGUCUGAGAGGAUGAUCAGCCACACUGGGACUGAGACACGGCCCAGACUCCUACGGGAGGCAGCAGUGGGGAAUAUUGGACAAUGGGCGAAAGCCUGAUCCAGCAAUGCCGCGUGAGUGAUGAAGGCCUUAGGGUUGUAAAGCUCUUUUACCCGGGAUGAUAAUGACAGUACCGGGAGAAUAAGCUCCGGCUAACUCCGU